UACGAAGGGGGCUAGCGUUGUUCGGAAUCACUGGGCGUAAAGGGCGCGUAGGCGGCCACCGCAAGUCAAUUGUGAAAUCUCCGGGCUUAACUCGGAAAGGUCAACUGAUACUGCGGGGCUAGAGUGCGGAAGGGGCAACUGGAAUUCUCGGUGUAGCGGUGAAAUGCGUAGAUAUCGAGAGGAACACCUGCGGCGAAGGCGGGUUGCUGGGCCGACACUGACGCUGAUGCGCGAAAGCCAGGGGAGCGAACGGG
rnacentral:rRNA from 1 species